rnacentral:lncRNA from 1 species
UUUUAAUAAAAAUGGAAACUUAAUAUCUGUAUUGCAUCAUACACCUUUUAGCCCUGAGGAUUUAAAAAAAUUGAAGGAAGAUAUGCCAUCAUUUGAGGAUGAACCAAUAAUAAUUAUAAAAAAAUUAGAGAACAUAUUCAGAACUAUUGACCCCACUUGGUUGAUGUUGAGAAUAUAUUAGAUGAAUUAUUAACAAAGAGAGAGAAAAAUAAUAUUGUCUCUCUGGCUAAUAAAAACAAGUUAGAAGAGGACAUUAUUGGCCAACUGAAGAUCCACAUUGGAACCCCAAUGUUGAAUUAGAUUACACAAAACUAAACCAGGCCAGAGAAGCUUUAUUGACAGCCAUGAGAGUUUGCUCUGAUAGACCUGAAAAAUGGUCAAAAUUUGAAAAAACCCGACAACAUAUUAAUGAAACACCCUCCCAGUUUAUGGACAGACUUAUUGAGGUAGGGAAUACAUAUAUGGACCUUGAUUUGUCCAGAGAAAGAGACAUUAGACAACUACAUAGACGAUUUGUUAAGAAUUGUUGUUCAGUGGUAAAGGACUAUUUUAGAACUAGCUGCCCUAAUUGGGACUCUAUGGACCUAGAUGAACUAAGGAGAGUAGCAACCUAUGUUUAUAAAGGUCAUGUAAAAAGACCUGAGGAAGAUGAUACAUCAGUGGAAGAUUUAAAGAAAGAAAUUGAAAUGUUAAAGAGACAAUUGAAAAAUAAGGGAGAGACUAUAGCCCCUUUAUGGGAAUUCACAAAUAAAUCAGUAACUUGCCACUUCUGUGAGAAGAAGGGCCACAAAAUGAUGGAAUGUAGAACCUUUCUUAAGAUAAUUGGAAGGAAUACACAGUUUAAUAAUAGCUUUAGAAAUAAUAACUAUAGAAAUGAUGAUAAUGGUCAUAGAAACCAGAACAACUAUAAUGAUGAUAAUGGUCAUAGAAACCAGAAUUCUAGAGAUUCUAGAAAUUAUAAUAAUGACUAUGGAGAUAACUAUAAUGAAUAUAGAAAUAAGAACUUUAGAAACCAGAAUUAUAGAAAUAGGAAUUGGGAAAAUAAUGACAAUGCUCCAAAUGAAGAAA